UGAGGUGACACCUCCCUUCACCGCCCCCAGCACAGGCAAUAAACACCGGCCCCGGCACCUCUGCUCCCGGGACUGGGGGUGCUCGGCUGUCCUGGACGUGUGGGCUCAGCGGGGAGGGCACCUGGACAGUGACAGCCACAUCCACAGGCACUGGUGAUUUUUAAGCAAAUCCCUCCUCUAAUGGCAGACUUAAAACAUGGAGAAAGAGGAAAGCAGGCACGAAGGUCCGGAUCCCCUUUUCCUUCUGGUGCUGGAAGCUGCUGGGGGGGAGAUUUCCCCUGGGAUUUAAGGAUGGAAGCUGGACUGCAUGUGGAUUUUCCUCGUUUGGUCACAAGUAUUGUCACUGGAUUGGUGUAAGAGCUGCAGGCACACCAAGCCCACGGUGGAAGGAUGCCUGUUCCCAGGAGAGGGUCCUGCUCCCACAUCCCAUCCAGUGAGCAGCACCCAUAGGAGCAUGGAGGUCAAACCUGCUUCCUCCAUCGCUGAGCUGGGCUUUCUUGGGCUGGAUCCAUGUGUGCUGGCUCUUGGCUGGGCCUUCCCUGUCCAAGAAGCCGUCCCAAGGCAUGGAGGAACACAGCCAAGGAAUGGAGGAACAUGUCCAAGGGAUCAAAGAACCUUGGGAUGGAUGAACGUGCUUGAGGAAUGAAGGAACCUGCCUGAGGGAUGGAGGAACCCAGACACGGGAUGGAGGGACCUGGCUGCCACCCCACUGUCACAGGUCAUGCCCAUGCCAAUCCUGGAACCCACGGAACGUCACUCCUGGUUUACCCAGCCUUGUACCAAGCUCUGUCCUCGCCAGAGCCACCUGGAGCUGGUUCAUCUCAGCAGCUCCAGCACAGGCGCUCCCCUCCAGCUCUGUUGUGGUCUCUGCUCCCUCACCACAAAAGGACAAACAUUUCCCUCUGCAAAGCCAA